rnacentral:ncRNA from 1 species
UCUAACUGAUAUUCUGAAGAGUGGAAUGAAGGGGUAACGCCUGGAAACGCUCACCUAAUACUACGUUGGAGGCUAAGGAGUGUAAUAUCCUGAGCUGACACAGCACGUUGAAGUCGGCUGAAAAUCGCCCAAACAAGCUUAUGCUGUUGUGGAAAGCUGUCCAGAGGUGGAUGGUGCGGUCUAUAGGUCGGGGGUCUAUAAA